GACGAACGCUGGCGGCGUGCCUAAUACAUGCAAGUAGGACGCAGUUGCGAAUGGGUGAGUAACGCGUAGGUAACUACCUAUUAGAGGGGGAUAACUAUUGGAAACGAUAGCUAAUACCGCAUACUAGUAGAUGGACCUGCGUUGUAUUAGCUAGUAGGUAGGGUAAUGGCCUACCUAGGCAAAGAUACAUAGCCGACGUGAGAGGGUGAUGGGCGACACUGGGACUGGGACACGGCCCAGACUCCUACGGGAAGCAGCAGUAGGGAAUAUUCGGCAAUGGGGGGAAGCCUGAGCGAGCAACGCCGAGGGAGGGAGGAAGGUUUACGGAUCGUAGAGCUCUGUUGUUAAGGAAGCGGUACUUAACCAGAAAGGGACGGCUAACUACGUGCCAGCCGCCGCGGUAAUAC
rnacentral:rRNA from 1 species